rnacentral:lncRNA from 1 species
CUCUCCUCAGCUUCCUUAAGUCUUUUAUUAGGUCUUCAAACUUAACCUGGGAGGCCUGGAAAAAAUCCUGUGGUUCUGGUAAAGGAAAAAUACUCUUGUCUGUUCCUGCUUCCUUAUCACAAUGGCGUAGGUAAUAAAUGACAACAUAAUCCACAAGAUUAAUACGAUUAUCUCUGCUUUUGACAUCUUUUAGUUUGGGGAGUAUUUCCAAACCAAAUCCAUCAGCUUGACCUCGAGUCCUA